GUAAACCCAAGGUUUCCAGGGGAAGGUUCGUCCGCCCUGGGUUAGUCGGGACCUAAGCUGAGGCCGAAAGGCGUAGGGGAUGGACAACAGGUUGAUAUUCCUGUACUACCGAUAACCGUUUGAGAGAAGGGCUGACACAGUAGGAUAAGCUAAGCACACUGUUGGUUAUGGGUGCCCAAGCAUUGAGGCAGUCAAAGUAGGCAAA
rnacentral:rRNA from 1 species